rnacentral:rRNA from 1 species
AGCCACUCAGCAACAACAAGAGGAUCAUCAACGCACCAAUCUUUUUCAAACCCGAUGCAUGAUUUAGGAGAAGGUGUGCUCCUUAAUUAUUGAUGGCAAAAGCUGCACCAACGUAGCUUCCCGAGAAAAGGUCGAGAAGCUGAUGCUACCAACACCCGUGCACCCGACGCCAUAUCAAUUGGGGUGUGGACCGACGUGGAUUGGGGUGGCUUCAGAAGCCUGGGCCUUUGUUGUGCUCACAGAGACGUUGUCACCCCGAUCGUGGCUGGCAGCGCGUGCCGUUGGCGUGCUCAAGCAUCAUCGCGCUCCAGGCGUAAGCCUGCGGGCUCCCCAUUCGACCCUCUUGAAACACGGACCAAGGAGUCUGACAUGUGUGCAAGUCAACGGGCCAGAAAACCCGUGAGGAAGCUGAGUGGCAGGAUCCCCUUGAGGGUUACACCGCCGACCGACCUUAAUCUUCUGAGAAGGGUUCAAGUGUGAGCACGCCUAUCGGGACCCAAAAGAUGGUGAACUAUGCCUGAGUGGGGCGAAGCUAGAGGAAACUCUGGUGGAGGCCCGCAGCGAUACUGACGUGCAAAUCAUUUGUCUGACUUGGGUAUAGGAACGAAAGACUAAUCGAACCGUCUAGUAGCUAGUUCCCUUCGAAGUUUCCCUCAUGAUAGCUGGAGACCAUGGGCGAGUUCUAUUAGGUAAAGCCAAUGAUUAGAGGUAUCGGGGGCGUAACGCCCUCGACCUAUUCUCAAACUUUAAAUAGGUAGGACGGUGUGGCUGCUUUGCUGAGCCGUGCCACAGAAUCGAGAGCUCCAAGUGGGCCAUUUUUGGUAAGCAUAACUGGCGAUGCGGGAUGAACCGAAAGACGGGUUACGGUGCGCAACUGCGCGCUAACCUAGAACCCACAAAGGGUGUUUGUCGAUUAAGACAGCAGGACGGUGGUCAUGGAAGUUGAAAUCCGCUAAGGAGUGCGAAACAACUCACCUGCCGAAUCAACUAGCCCCAAAAAUAGAUGGCGCUGAAGUGCGCGACCUAUACCCGGCCUUCGGGGCAAGUACUAAGCCCUGAUGACUAGGAGGGCACGGCGGUCGCUGUAAAACCUGGGGUGCGAGCCCGGGCGGAGCCGCCAUCAGUGCAGAUCUUUGUGGUAGUAGCAAAUAUUCAAAUGAGAACUUUGAAGGCUGACGAGAGGAAAGGUUCCAUGUAAACAACACUUGCACAUGGGUUAGUCGAUCCUAAGAGACAGGGCAAUACCGUCUGACAGCGCCCAGUGUUCGAGCAUCGAAAGGGAAUCGAGUUAAAAUUCCUGAAUCGGGACGUGACGACUGACGACAAUGUUAGGGAGUCCGGAGACGUCGUCGGGGACCUCGAGAGGAGUUAUCUUUUCUGUUUAACAGCCUACCCACCCUAGAAAUGGCUCAGCCGAAGGUAGGGUUCAGCGGCUGGAAGAGCACCGCACAUCGCACGGUGUCUGGUCUGUCCUCGACGGCCCUUGAAAAUUUGGAGGACCGAGUGCCUCCCACUCCCGGUCGUACUCAUAACCGCAUUAGGUCUCCAAGGUGAACAACCUCUGGUCGAUGGAAAAAUGAAGGCAAGGGAAGUCGGCAAAAUGGAUCUGUAACCUCGGGGAAAGGAUUUGCUCUGAGGGCUGGGCACAAGAGUCCCCGUCCUGAAUCCGUCGGCUGUCGAUGGACUGCUCAAGCUGCUCUCGCGGCAAGAGCGGGUCGUCGCAUGCCAGACGGGCCUUCGGGGCCUUCCCCGGGAAUUAAACAGUCGACUCAGAACUGGUACGGACAAGGGGAAUCCGACUGUUUAAUUAAAACAAAGCCUUGCGAUGGUCCUUGCGAAUGCUCACACAAUGUGAUUUCUGCCCAGUGCUCUGAAUGUCAAAGUGAAGAAAUUCAACCAAACGCGGGUAAAUGACUGGAGUAACUAUGACUCUCUUAAGGUAGCCAAAUGGCUUGUCAUCUAAUUAGUGAUGCGCAUGAAUGGAUUAACGAGAUUCCCACUGUCCCUAUCUACUAUCCAGCGAAACCACAACCAAGGGAACGGGCUUGGCAAAAUUAGCGGGGAAGGAAGACCUGUUGAGCAUGACUAUAAUCCGACUAUGUGAAAUGACUUAAGAGAUGUAGGAUAAGUGGGAGCCGGAAACGGAAAAAGUAAAAUACGACUACUUUUAACGUUAUUUUACUUAUUACGUGAAUCGAAAGCGGGGUAACGCCCCUCUUUUUGGACCUAAGGCCCGCCUCGGCGGGUCGAUCCGGGCAGAAGACAUUGUCAGGUGGUGAGUUUUUCUUGGGCGGCACAUCUGUUAAAAGAUAACGCAAGUGUCCUAAGAUGAGCUCAACGAGAACAUAAAUCUAAUGUGGAAAAAAAGGGUAAAAGCUCGUUUGAUUCUGAUUUCUAGUAGGAAUACGAACCGUGAAAGCGUGGCCUUUCGAUCCUUUAGACCUUCGAAAUUUGAAGCUAGAGGUGUUAGAAAAGUUACCACAGGGAUAACUGGCUUGUGGCAGCCAAGCUGUAACAACCCUAAUUUAUUUUUAGAAUUUGUGACUUUAAGAUAAAAGUGUUUAAGAUUUAUUUUUUUUUAUGAAUGUUGGCUAAAUAUUAAAGUAUUAAGGUAUUAUGGAUAUUAGUAAUUUAGUAGGUUGAAGGUGGUGACGAAAAUAAUGU